rnacentral:rRNA from 1 species
UUUCGAGAUCCUCGCCCACUAGUUGCUAUCAUUAUUCUCAGGAAUAGUGGGGCGAAUUAGUGGGACUGCCGUUGUUAAAACGGAGGAAGGAGGGGGCUACGGCAGGUCAGUAUGCCCCGAAACUCUGGGGCCACACGCGGGCUGCAAUGGUAGCGACAAUGAGUUCCAAACUCGAAAGAGAGUGGCAAUCUCUAAACGCUACCACAGUUAUGACUGAGGGCUGUAACCCGCCCUCACGAAUAUGGAAUCCCUAGUAACCGCGUGUCAUUACCGCGCGGUGAAUACGUCCCUGCUCCUUGCACACACCGCCCGUCGUUUCAUCGAAGUCUGC